rnacentral:rRNA from 1 species
CGGAGGGUGCAAGCGUUAUCCGGAGUUUACUGGGUUUAAAGGGUGCGUAGGUGGGUCUGUAAGUCAGUGGGUGAAAUCUCCGGGCUUAACCCGGAAACUGCCAUUGAUACUAUAGGUCUUGAAUACUCUGGAGGUAAGCGGAAUAUGUCAUGUAGCGGUGAAAUGCUUAGAUAUGACAUAGAACACCAAUUGCGAAGGCAGCUUACUACGGGGUCAUUGACACUGAGGCACGAAAGCGUGGGGAUCAAACAGGAUUAGAUACCCUGGUAGUCCACGCCCUAAACGAUGGAUACUCGACAUCAGCGAUACACUGUUGGUGUCUGAGCGAAAGCAUUAAGUAUCCCACCUGGGAAGUACGAUCGCAAGAUUG